UUAUUUAUCUAUGAUUACAAACAUUUCAGAUUUGGAACAUAUUAUUUAUAAUCAAGUUGGCGUUUUAGAAUAAACAAAUUAAUUGUUUACACACAUUUUGAUCAUGGAUGAUGAAAGUAAAAUAGUAACAUAGUGUUAUAGCUGUUAUUAACAAUAUCUGGACACAUGGACAUAAUCAUUGAAUUGUAUAUUCGUAAAUGUCCAUAGAAAAUACCUUCUGAAAAUAAUUAUUUACUAUGAAAUACAAUGGGUUUAGUGUACAGAUGGCACCAGUUCCAGUGGCCUGUGAAAAGGUCCCAUGUUACGAUUGUUUACUCGAUCGUUUCAUGUGUCGCUAAAAUAGCUCGUUAACAUUCUUAGUAAAUCUAAAUUCGGUUAUCCGAUGACUUCAACGUGGUGAAUUAAA